rnacentral:rRNA from 1 species
AGUGAACGCUGGCGGCAGGCUCACCCAUGCAAGUCGCACGGCAGCACAAGAGAGCUUGCUCUCUGGGUGGCGAGUGGCGGACGGGUGAGGAAUGCAUCGGAAUCUGCCCAUUUGUGGGGGAUAACCUCGGGAAACCGGGACUAAUACCGCAUACGACCUACGGGUGCAAGCAGGGGAUCUUCGGACCUUGCGCAGAUGGAUGAGCCGAUGCCGGAUUAGCUAGUUGGAGGGGUAAAGGCCCACCAAGGCGACGAUCCGUAGCUGGUCUGAGAGGAUGAUCAGCCACACUGGGACUGAGACACGGCCCAGACUCCUACGGGAGGCAGCAGUGGGGAAUAUUGGACAAUGGGCGCAAGCCUGAUCCAGCCAUGCCGCGUGUGUGAAGAAGGCCUUCGGGUUGUAAAGCACUUUUGUUGGGAAAGAAAAGCAGCCGGUUAAUACCCGGUUGUCAUGACGGUACCCAAAGAAUAAGCACCGGCUAACUUCGUG